GAUAGCACUGGUGUGGACCUGUGAUGGUGAGGGGUUGGGCACAGUGGGGCUGACACUGCAAGGCAGUGCUGUGCUGGUGGCAGGAAGCACUGCUGGCCUGGCCCUGACAUGUGGGUACUUCUCCAUUUUCAGGGAAGCCUGUAUGUAGCUGCCCUGUGGAUGGCACACAGUCUCCAAACAGUGCUGUGCAAGUGAACUGCAGACACUCCUGAAGCGGUCUGCAUGGCACCUGUCACCAGAAGCCUCGCAGGAAAGAUCUUGUCAAACCAACUGCCAUACGCCAAGUAUUUGCAAGUAUUUUCCAAGACCACCUGUGACUGGAAUGACAGGAGCAUCCUUUGUGGGACUGUCGCUCACUCAUUCCUGAUGUGAUGAGUUUAGAUAUUGAUUCACCAGUAUCUGGAGUAGUCAGCAUUUCAGCCCUGAAGAAAUGUUCAAUCUUGCAAACAACUUUGUCCGGAGGAUGAACUGAUGUCAGAUGCAUUUAUGUUGACCAUAAAAGAACAGAGUAUGAGCUGCUCAAGUUAGGGGACAGCCAUGUAGCACCUCUUCCUCAUUAUACAUGAAGAUCCAGCCCUUGGAAAGAGAUGAGCACAAUCUGGAGCUGAGCAGCUCAGCCCUUCUGAUGGGCAGCAGAGGUCCCUUGCUCUUCUGUC